CUGUAGGGGACAUGAGUAAGGAUCAUU
rnacentral:rRNA from 1 species